rnacentral:rRNA from 1 species
UACAGAGGUCCCGAGCGUUGUUCGGAUUCCUUGGGCGUAAAGGGUGCGUAGGCGGCGUGGUAAGUCUGAUGUGAAAUCCUGGGGCUCAACCCCAGAACUGCAUUGGAUACUGCCAUGCUAGAGUACUGGAGAGGAAACUGGAAUUUACGGUGUAGCAGUGAAAUGCGUAGAGAUCGUAAGGAAGACCAGUGGCGAAGGCGAGUUUCUGGACAGUAACUGACGCUGAGGCACGAAGGCCAGGGGAGCAAACGGG